rnacentral:rRNA from 1 species
CGCGUAGGCGGCCUCCUAAGUCGGACGUGAAAUCCCUCGGCUUAACCGGGGAACUGCGUCCGAUACUGGAGGGCUUGGAUCCGGGAGAGGGAUGCGGAAUUCCAGGUGUAGCGGUGAAAUGCGUAGAUAUCUGGAGGAACACCGGUGGCGAAGGCGGCAUCCUGGACCGGCAUCGACGCUGAGGCGCGAAAGCCAGGGGAGCAAACG